GCAGGCAACCAUAUCACCCUGUAGCCCAAGACUGGUUGCCCACUGAAGCUAAGCAGGGCUGAGCCUGGUCAGUACCUGGA
rnacentral:rRNA from 1 species